rnacentral:rRNA from 1 species
CCUACGGGUGGCAGCAGUGAGGAAUAUUGGUCAAUGGGCGGGAGCCUGAACCAGCCAAGCCGCGUGAGGGAAGAAGGUACAGCGUAUCGUAAACCUCUUUUGUCAGGGAACAAAGGCGGGGACUAGUCCCCGGAUGAGGGUACCUGAAGAACAAGCAUCGGCUAACUCCGUGCCAGCAGCCGCGGUAAUACGGAGGUCUCAAGCGUUGUUCGGAAUCACUGGGCGUAAAGCGUGCGUAGGCUGUUUCGUAAGUCGUGUGUGAAAGGCGCGGGCUCAACCCGGGGACGGCACAUGAUACUGCGAGACUAGAGGAAAGGAGCGGGAGCCGGAAGUCACGGGGUAGCAGUGAAAUGCGUAGAUAUC